GCAAAUGUAUUGUCUUUGGUCAUGAUCGGUCGCGGUUGAUUUGAACGCCAGUCGGUUGGUGUGUGAGGUGCGGAGAACAUCGCGGGAACACUUUCUCCGAUUUCAAACGUAAAAAUCCCUUCAAAUUUUCUGGAACAAAUCAAAACGGCUGCAGCAGAAGAGGUGACUGACCCCUCGGCCCAUGAGGUGUGAAAACGAGAAUAAUGAGUGCCAGUCUUCAGAAUGACGAGGUGGCAGUGCCCAGUCACAUCACAAUCACAUCAACAUUAUCAGGAUGAUUGGUUGAUUGGCUCCCUUAUCAA